GACGAACGCUGGCGGCGUGCUUAACACAUGCAAGUCGAGCGGUAAGGCCCUUUCGGGGGUACGACGAGCGGCGAACGGGUGAGUAACACGUGGGUGACCUGCCCUCAGCUCUGGGAUAAGCCUGGGAAACUGGGUCUAAUACCGGAUAUGACUCCAUGACGCAUGUCGUGGGGUGGAAAGCCUUGUGCGGCUGGGGAUGGGCCCGCGGCCUAUCAGCUUGUUGGUGGGGUGANGGCCUACCAAGGCGACGACGGGUAGCCGGCCUGAGAGGGCGACCGGCCACACUGGGACUGAGACACGGCCCAGACUCCUACGGGAGGCAGCAGUGGGGAAUCUUGCGCAAUGGGCGAAAGCCUGACGCAGCGACGCCGCGUGAGGGAUGACGGCCU
rnacentral:rRNA from 1 species